GACAGAGGGUGCAAACGUUGUUCGGAAUUACUGGGCGUAAAGCGUGUGUAGGCGGCCAUAUAAGUCGGAUGUGAAAGCCCUGGGCUCAACCCAGGAAGUGCACUCGAUACUGUAUGGCUCGAGUACUGGAGAGGUUGGUGGAAUUCUCGGUGUAGAGGUGAAAUUCGUAGAUAUCGAGAGGAACACCGGUGGCGAAGGCGACCAACUGGACAGAUACUGACGCUGAGACACGAAAGCGUGGGGAGCAAACAGG
rnacentral:rRNA from 1 species